rnacentral:rRNA from 1 species
GAUAAACGCUGGCGGCGUGCCUUAAACAUGCAAGUCGAACGGCUCUUCUUAGGAAGGGCAGUGGCAGACGGCUGAGUAACACGUAAGUAACCUAGCCUCAAGUGGGGAAUAACUGCGAGAAAUCGUAGCUAAUACCGCAUGUGGUCUGUAGGGCGGAGGCUCUGCAGAGUAAAGCUGGAAGGUGCUUGAGGGGGGGCUUGCGACCGAUUAGCUAGAUGGUGAGGUAAAGGCUCACCAUGGCGAUGAUCGGUAGCUGGUCUGAGAGGAUGAUCAGCCAGACUGGGACUGAGACACGGCCCAGACUCCUACGGGAGGCAGCAGUUAGGAAUUUUGGGCAAUGGGCGAAAGCCUGACCCAGCAACGCCGCGUGGGUGAAGAAGGUCUUCGGAUCGUAAAGCCCUUUUCUGUGGGAAGAGGGAGGACGGUACCACAGGAAUAAGCCUCGGCUAACUACGUGCCAGCAGCCGCGGUAAUACGUAGGAGGCGAGCGUUGUCCGGAUUUACUGGGCGUAAAGCGCGCGCAGGUGGCUGGAUAAGUUGGAUGUGAAAGACCCUGGCUUAACUAGGGGAGGCCAUUCAAAACUAUCCAGCUUGAGGGCAGCAGAGGAAAGUGGAAUUCCCGGUGUAGUGGUGAAAUGCGUAGAUAUCGGGAGGAACACCAGUGGCGAAGGCGGCUUUCUGGGCUGUCGCUGACGCUGAGGCGCGAAGGCGUGGGGAGCGAACCGGAUUAGAUACCCGGGUAGUCCACGCGGUAAACGAUGGACACUAGGUGUAGGGGGUAUCGACCCCCUCUGUGCCGAAGCUAACGCAUUAAGUGUCCCGCCUGGGGAGUACGGCCGCAAGGCU